GACGAACGCUGGCGGCGUGCUUAACACAUGCAAGUCGAACGGAAAGGCCCUGCUUUUGUGGGGUGCUCGAGAGGCGAACGGGUGAGUAACACGUGAGUAACCUGCCCUUGACUUUGGGAUAACUUCAGGAAACUGGGGCUAAUACCGGAUAGGAGCUCCUGCUGCAUGGUGGGGGUUGGAAAGUUUCGGCGGUUGGGGAUGGACUCGCGGCUUAUCAGCUUGUUGGUGGGGUAGUGGCUUACCAAGGCUUUGACGGGUAGCCGGCCUGAGAGGGUGACCGGCCACAUUGGGACUGAGAUACGGCCCAGACUCCUACGGGAGGCAGCAGUGGGGAAUAUUGCACAAUGGGCGGAAGCCUGAUGCAGCAACGCCGCGUGCGGGAUGACGGCCUUCGGGUUGUAAACCGCUUUCGCCUGUGACGAAGCGUGAGUGACGGGAAUGGGUAAAGAAGCACCGGCUAACUACG
rnacentral:rRNA from 1 species